rnacentral:rRNA from 1 species
UCUUGGCUCUUGCAUCGAUGAAGAACGUAGUGAAAUGCGAUACUUGGUGUGAAUUGCAGAAUCUCGUGAACCAUUGAGUCUUUGAACGCAAGUUGUGCCCGAGGCCUUGCGGUCGAGGGCACGCCUGCUUGGGCGUCAUUGCAUCGUCGCCUUUGCUCCUCUCUU